rnacentral:rRNA from 1 species
AUUGAACGCUGGCGGCAUGCUUUACACAUGCAAGUCGAACGGUAACAGGUUAAGCUGACGAGUGGCGAACGGGUGAGUAAUGCAUCGGAACGUGCCCGAUCGUGGGGGAUAACGCAGCGAAAGCUGCGCUAAUACCGCAUACGAUCUGAGGAUGAAAGCGGGGGACCGUAAGGCCUCGCGCGAUCGGAGCGGCCGAUGUCAGAUUAGGUAGUUGGUGGGGUAAAGGCUCACCAAGCCAACGAUCUGUAGCUGGUCUGAGAGGACGACCAGCCACACUGGGACUGAGACACGGCCCAGACUCCUACGGGAGGCAGCAGUGGGGAAUUUUGGACAAUGGGCGAAAGCCUGAUCCAGCAAUGCCGCGUGCAGGAAGAAGGCCUUCGGGUUGUAAACUGCUUUUGUACGGAGCGAAAAGGUCUCCUCUAAUACAGGGGGCUCAUGACGGUACCGUAAGAAUAAGCACCGGCUAACUACGUGCCAGCCGCCGCCGUAAGAC